UACAGAGGGUGCGAGCGUUAAUCGGAAUUACUGGGCGUAAAGCGCGCGUAGGCGGCUUUGCAAGUCGGGUGUGAAAUCCCCAGGCUUAACCUGGGAACUGCAUUCGAGACUGCAUUGCUAGAGUAUGGGAGAGGGAAGUGGAAUUUCCGGUGUAGCGGUGAAAUGCGCAGAUAUCGGGAGGAACACCAGUAGCGAAGGCGGCACUCUGGGCCGGUACUGACGCUGAGGAGCGAAAGCGUGGGGAGCGAACAGG
rnacentral:rRNA from 1 species